rnacentral:tRNA from 3 species
GGAUAGAUGACCGAGAGGCUGAAGGUACUCCCCUGCUAAGGGAGCAUACGAGUAUAAAGCUUGUAUCGAGGGUUCGAAUCCCUCUCUAUCCGCCA